UAUGGCUCAGUGGUAGAGUGCUUGCCUAGUAUGCAUGAAGCUCUGGGUUCAAUUCCUCAGUA
rnacentral:tRNA from 1 species